rnacentral:rRNA from 1 species
UGGGGAAUAUUGCGCAAUGGGCGAAAGCCUGACGCAGCGACGCCGCGUGGAGGAUGAAGGUCUUCGGAUCGUAAACUUCUGUUAAACGGGAAGAAAGAACGGUGGUUAAUACCCACCGGAGAUGACGGUACCGUUAGAGAAAGCCCCGGCUAACUUCGUGCCAGCAGCCGCGGUAAUACGAAGGGGGCGAGCGUUAUUCGGAAUUAUUGGGCGUAAAGAGCGUGUAGGUGGUUUUCUAAGUCGAUUGUUAAAUCUCAUGGCCUAACUGUGAGCUUGCGGUCGAUACUGGAAAACUAGAGGGUGAGAGAGAGGAGUGGAAUUCUCGGAGUAGCGGUAAAAUGCGUGGAUCUCGAGAGGAACACCGUUGGCGAAGGCAGCUCCUUGGCUCACUACUGACACUCAAAUGCGAAGGCGUGGGGAGCAAACAGG